rnacentral:rRNA from 1 species
CCCCGCGAGGCAAAGCGAGAGCGGGACGGGACGGGCAUGCGUCCCAUUAGCUUGUUGGCGGGGUGAAGGCCCACCAAGGCGACGAUGGGUAGGGGAUCUGAGAGGACGGUCCCCCACACUGGUACUGAGACACGGACCAGACUCCUGCGGGAGGCAGCAGUAAGGGAUAUUGGUCAAUGGGCGGAAGCCUGAACCAGCCAUGCCGCGUGAGGGAAUGAGGCCCUACGGGUCGUGAACCUCUUUUAUUCGGGGACAACGUCGGCGUCGCGAACGCCGUGUGAGGGUACCGAAGGAAUAAGCGUCGGCUAACUCCGUGCCAGCAGCCGCGGUAAUACGGAGGACGCGAGCGUUAUCCGGAUUCAUUGGGUUUAAAGGGUGCGCAGGCGGCUCGGCAAGUCAGCGGUGAAAGCCCGGGGCCCAACCCCGGAAGUGCCGUUGAUACUGUCGGGCUGGAAUGCGGUCGAGGCGGGCGGAACGUGGCGUGUAGCGGUGAAAUGCGUAGAUAUGCCACAGAACGCCGAUAGCGGAGGCAGCUCGCCAGGCCUGCAUUGACGCUCGGGCACGAAAGCGUGGGGAUCGA